GACGAACGCUGGCGGCGUGCUUAACACAUGCAAGUCGAACGGAAAGGCCCUGCUUGUGUGGGGUGCUCGAGUGGCGAACGGGUGAGUAACACGUGAGUAACCUGCCCUUGACGUUGGGAUAACUUCAGGAAACUGGGGCUAAUACCGGAUAGGAGCUCCUGCUGCAUGGUGGGGGUUGGAAAGUUUCGGCGGUUGGGGAUGGACUCGCGGCUUAUCAGCUUGUUGGUGGGGUAGUGGCUUACCAAGGCUUUGACGGGUAGCCGGCCUGAGAGGGUGACCGGCCACAUUGGGACUGAGAUACGGCCCAGACUCCUACGGGAGGCAGCAGUGGGGAAUAUUGCACAAUGGGCGGAAGCCUGAUGCAGCAACGCCGCGUGCGGGAUGACGGCCUUCGGGUUGUAAACCGCUUUCGCCUGUGACGAAGCGUGAGUGACGGUAAUGGGUAAAGAAGCACCGGCUAACUACGUG
rnacentral:rRNA from 1 species